rnacentral:rRNA from 1 species
CUGGCUCAGGACGAACGCUGGCGGCGUGCUUAACACAUGCAAGUCGAACGGGGAUUAGUUGAUAGAGAGCUCGGCAGGAAAUUGAUAAUCGAGUGGCGGACGGGUGAGUAACGCGUGAGCAACCUGUCCCAGACAGGGGGAUAACACUUGGAAACAGGUGCUAAUACCGCAUAAGACCACGGGAUCACAUGGUUCUGGGGUAAAAGGAGCAAUCCGGUUUGGGGUGGGCUCGCGUCCGAUUAGCCAGUUGGCGGGGUAACGGCCCACCAAAGCGACGAUCGGUAGCCGACCUGAGAGGGUGAACGGCCACAUUGGAACUGAGAGACGGUCCAAACUCCUACGGGAGGCAGCAGUGGGGAAUAUUGGGCAAUGGGCGAAAGCCCUGACCCAGCAACGCCGCGUGAGUGAAGAAGGCCUUCGGGUUGUAAAGCUCUGUUAUAGUUGACGAAGGAAGUGACGGUAGGCUAUAAGGAAGCCCCGGCUAACUACGUGCCAGCCGCCGC